rnacentral:tRNA from 1 species
GCCGGUGUAGCUCAGUCGGUAGAGCAACUGAUUCGUAAUCAGUAGGUCGGAGGUUCGAUUCCUCUCCCCGGCACCA